rnacentral:rRNA from 1 species
UACAGAGGUCCCGAGCGUUGUUCGGAUUCACUGGGCGUAAAGGGCGCGUAGGCGGCUCGGCACGUCCGUUGUGAAAUCGCCCGGCUCAACUGGGCGGGGUCAGCGGAUACGGUCGAGCUUGAGCAAGCUAGGGGGCAAUGGAAUUCCCGGUGUAGUGGUGGAAUGCGUAGAUAUCGGGAGGAACACCAGUGGCGAAGGCGGUUGCCUGGGGCUUUGCUGACGCUGAUGCGCGAAAGCGUGGGGAGCGAUCCGG